UACGUAGGGUGCGAGCGUUGUCCGGAAUUAUUGGGCGUAAAGCGCUCGUAGGCGGUGUGUCACGUCGGCCGUGAAAACCUGCAGCUUAACUGUGGGCGUGCGGUCGAUACGGGCAUCACUGGAGUUCGGCAGGGGAGACUGGAAUUCCUGGUGUAGCGGUGAAGUGCGCAGAUAUCAGGAGGAACACCGGUGGCGAAGGCGGGUCUCUGGGCCGAUACUGACGCUGAGGAGCGAAAGCGUGGGGAGCAAACAGG
rnacentral:rRNA from 1 species